ACUAGUGCGCCUGCGCGGAGUUUACUUGGUUACGCAGAAUUGGAGAUAAACAAACCCGCGGCCGCCAUCGUCCCCAGCGCCAGCGUAUGUCUCGAUUUCCAGCUUACACACGGCGUUACCGGUGGUGACCCGCCUUGGGCUGAGUUCCAACGAUGUUCUGGACCUAUCUUGCCUAAAAUAUCGCGAUAUCUUUAUCUUCAAGUGGAUUUACGUGUUACUUUCCCGACCUCAACAUGAAGCUGUGUGCAGUAGUGAAUUGCAGCAAUUCAACUUACCAUCUAGAAAAAUGGAAGAGACAUGCCAAAUACAUGGUACAAAAAGUGGACCAUUUUCCUAUGAGAAGAAAAAAACCUCAUGCUAGGAGAAGAGGGAAUAAACUUAUGAACAAGCUUGAAGCCAAACCCAGAUGGAAUAUACUAAAAAUACAAGUACACUUAGGUUCUGAAAUGGUUUCAUGAAAGUAUAUUGUAACCCGCACAUAAACAGUGCUGCAAAUUGUAAUCAUGACAGAUAUUUUAUGUACUGAAUUUUGAUAGUUCUGUGCAGUAAUACUGCUAAACUGGUACAGACUUUUAGUCUAACAAGGGUCUGCUGUAAAUAGAUUCAAUAUGAUUAUCUUUUCACUUAUUAACUUGAAUUAGUGGAAAAUAAUAUAUUUGAACAUGAUGUCAAGUCAUUAACACUAUAUUUACCACUUAAGAUACCUUUUUCCGCAUGCAGUUGAGAAAGCUGUGGUGAACUGGUGUAGUUGACUCCUUCGUGCCUGCACCACAGGUGCUCCCAGUGAUGGUCUAAGUACUAGUACUUAAGUUUAGAUCUUUUCCACUGACUGUUGACCAUAAGAUCAGGUGUAUGUAGAGAACUCCAGUCAUUUACACUACUUACAUCAAACACCUGACCCCUGCGUUUGGAUCUUGAAAGUGGAAUAUUUAAUUUGUAACUACUCUCUUGUUGUUUUUCUGACCAAACACAAGAAAAACAAGUCAGUUAACUGCAUCGACAGUACUACAUACUCACUCACAUUCACUAUCCGGUUUAUUGUCUAAAUACUAAAUAAUAUGUGCUAGACAGCAUAGGUUGUACGAUGGCGAUUACUAGAUUACUGUAAACAUUCACACUGUGAUAGAAAACAUACAAGCACCGUUAAACAUAAACUUACUGUGUUAACACACAAACAGCUCUGCAAUCAAAGUGAUGUAGAAAAUAUAAUGCCACAGCACUUGGCUCAGAUAGUUGAUGAAGACAGAUAUAGUUGAAAACUCAAAUUUCUUGAGUUGGAGAACAGUUUUUUUUAAAUAAAAUAUGUAACUUACCAACU